AUGUCAGAUAGCCAUCUGCCUCUGGGCAUAUUUUCUCCAGAUACUAAAAAAUAGAAGUCAAUGCUUGCUCGUCUUUUUAUUUGGUACGCAAGUUUGGCUCUUCUGUAACAUUU